rnacentral:misc_RNA from 1 species
CGCAUCUUGCACUCUCUGGUAUUCCGGAGAGUAUGCCUGUUCGAGUGUCGUGAAGUUCUCAAGACUCUCUUUUGAGUCUUGGAGUUGGAGCCUGUCGGCGCGAGUCGACUGCUCUGAAAUGUAUUAGCCAUGGCGAACACGAUCGGCUUGAGUGUAAUAAAUCUUUUAUAUGCACGACGGUCCGAGAGUACACACCGGGCUCACAAAACCCCUUACUUUUUUUCACCUUUGACCUCGAAUCAGGUAGGAUUACCCGCUGAACUUAA